GUAUGCUUAGACAAAAGAAUACUAAUCAAGUAUACACACCUUUUUUAAAGCUUCACAUUCUCAUUAAACCAAAAAUUAUGCCAGAACUGCAAAGGUAACAAUUCCUCUGAAAGAUGGAGUCAACUGGAAAAAGACGGGAACACCAGCAGUCAAGAAAAGGAAUCUGGCAUUUCGUCACUUCAGGUAUUCACUAAGGAAGAGGAAGCAGCACAGGAAAUGGAUGGCCAUCCCUGUGUGUCCUCGAAUGAGCCUUUCCCUACUCUUGGUCAGGUGCAACAUACCACCCUAGUGCUGGCCACAGAGUGAGGACUGAGUUACUCCUGUGUGUCUUCACAAGAAGAAUGCCUACUAUGGUCCUGGUCUAAGAGCUCAGUGAAAUGAAGAAGAUGAGCAAGUUUUCUACUGUUGUACACCAUGGAAAGCAUUAUUGUGUGUUCGUUUCUGAAGUGCCAACUGCUGUAACAAUCCACUGCAGUGGGCAGCUCCCAGCCAUGUGUCACUGUUCUGGAGGUGCUGCAGUCAUGGACUUCUCAUGAAUUUUCAGCAAUGAGUCCGUAUGGGAAUAAUUUCAUUGUGAGAAGAAGUCUUCCAUUCUAUCAUGAAAAAAGACUGCAUGGAAAUCACGGAAAGCUACAGAAGAAAGUAUCAGCCAUUGUUUGAAAGCACUGUGGCCUAUGGAGAUGGAAACCAGAAUGUGGAUUUGCCUCCAAAUUUUAUAAGCUUCUAGAAACCCAAAUGAUGAGAAACAAAUGUGAAAAGUUCACAAAAGUAGUGGUUGCUUAAAAAAAGAAAAAUUCUUGAAGCCCUGUCGCUUUUAUGAUGAACAGACCUGGUGAGAAGGAUAUUAAUUAUCUCAAAUAGCAUUGUUUAAACAGGUAGAGCUAUACCCAGUAUUUUUUGGUUGCCACCUAGAUUAAUAUUACACUCCUCAGUUGCUAACAAUGAAGUUAUCAGACACUGGAACAAAUUAUUAGGAGGAAGAGCGAGCUUACCAUUUCUUGAAGUCUGUAAACUGAGAGUGGAUGGUAUGCUUCAGCAAACAAUGGAGACACAGCUGGGUGAAAUUAUAUGGUUGUACUAAAGAGAAGGGAACAUGAGAUAUUCUCUGUGGUCCUUGCUAGCCUUAAGAGCUAUAGGUCUAUGAGUUCACAAAUACCAUUAAAAAGAACUCCCUAGAAGUAGUGAUGUCCAUAGCACCAAUCCGAAUCCAUCUCCUGAGCUGGGGUAGAUUAUUCCAAAAUAUUUUUUUUAAAAAUAUAGUCUCUACUACUGUUUCUACAUGCUUCUGUCACUACAAGUCAUCUUACUAGCAUAAUUUUACAAUAUUGGAAAUCCCUUUUUGAGGACUAAGGAGAUCCUUCCUCUCCCACAAAGAACUCAAUGUACUUCAGCUCAUGAAAGAGUGUAUAAACAAGUAAGCAUGCAUGCUUCUGCUUUCCUACCUGAUGUACUUCCAUCAUUAAAAACUGAAAUAAGUAAGCUAGAUUCACUCAGUGAAAUAAAAGGCAAUCCAUGAAGGAAAUUCUAAGAUACCUUAUUUUCAUUAUUGUAGACAAUUUCUAAGCUAAACUUUAAUUUUCUUCUCCUUGUAGGGUGACCUGGAACACUGUUUAAAAUAAGAUUUUUUUUUUUCUUAUAGCAAUCCUCCAGUUGAGAACAGCUAAAGCAUUUUUUUCCUCCAGAAUUGUGUUUUGGAGCAUUGGGCACUACAGGAACUUAAAUCUAGUAGGACAGCUGGAAGUCUGGGAAAGCUGUACCUGACUGAACAGCUAGACAUGAAAAAACCCAGUUCUUCAAUGUUGAGAAGUAUUUUUCUUGCUACAAAGAAAGAAGGAAUUAAGUCACUAUAUGGUCAAAAGAAAGGCCUUGCCAUUUUGUGAUGGCUCUCAAAAAUCAUCUGUGUAAAUCUGUCGAACUGUUUCUCUGAUGAAAAAACUGUAGCCUACACUAUGAAGGGUUUUGAGUAUAUGUCUAGCAUAUACUGUUAUCAGUAAUCACUGCAAUGGUCACAAAAGGUAUUCCUCCAGUAUGGUUAAACUGUCUCAUUAAUCAUAAGACGUAAUUACUCCUGUACCAGUAUGUCUUCCAUCCACAGAGGUGGGUUUGGCAGCAUGGCUAGGACAGUGUAGUUGGGAUAUGCUAGUUAAUGCUAGAAGAUCUGAAAACAAUCAUGGCAUAGAUUUUCAACUAUUUCAGGAAAAACAUGAUUUUGUGUCCAGAAUGGAUAUGCAUAAUUCCAGAGGCAGAUUUUUAGGUUUUAGAUUGUAGUCAAUGGCUAGUUACCCUUGUUUCUGUGAGUGCCAAAAACUCUCGUUGUGGCUUACUUCUUCUAUAUAUGUAUGUUGUGCCAAAAUAAAUAGCUCAACUGUCUGUCAGCUGGAGGGCGGUCUGCAAGACAUGUUUUAGCCAAACACGGUGUGUCACUCGGGUACAAUGAAGGGAGCACAACAGAAGAGAGCCCAGAGGAAAUUUGACAGCUUGUCAUAUACAGGCAUCCAGAUUGCUUUAUCGAGUGGUCUUUUCUGGUCUUAAGUUUCAUAAAUGUGUAAUUUGCACUGAUUGAAAUAAGUUCAACUUUCUCUUGCUACUGUGUUUUGUGCUUUUGAGAAAAGAUGAUUGGAAAAGCUAGAUGCUGAAAUAAAGGAGCAGCCUCUGACUGCUUUUAGGCUUUUUAGAUAUAUUAUCCUUUAAAAAAACCCAAACCCAGUUUGUCAUAACAGUUUCAGCAUCAACAGGGACUAACAUAUCUGCCGUGCAAAGGCCAUAGUAAAAUAUAGGUAUGUAUGUUUUAUACUUUGAUUUCAUGAAUCUACAAGAAAAAAUCUGGGUUGAUUUGAUUGAAGGAACUCCUUAGUUUUAGUCCCUUAAAGAAUAUCUUUGUAGGUCUCUUCUAAAAAGUAUAACAAUAAAGUAAAAAAGGUGGGGAGGGGAAUAAGAAGUCACUAAACAUUUGAAAGUGUUGAAGAUCUAGACUAUGUUUUCAUUCAUCAAGGUGGUUCUCAAAAGUAAUUUUUGAGCCACGCUGCAAGGAAACUGGUAAGAGCUUGAACUGGUAAUGUUCUCUUUGUGGUGUGGAUAUACAGGAAACAAUUCUCUUGUCGCACUAGGAUUCUGCUGAUUUUGAAAUUUUAGGCCUGGCAUGAGGCUUAGUAAAUAUAUGAGUGACUUAGCAAGCAAGCACAUUUUAUUUUAAUGCUGACCUUUUUUUUUCUUCUUUUAACCUUUUAAUAUAAACUAAAUUAAGUUUCAACAAGGGAAGAUGUUUUUAACUGCAAAACCAAGACUUUUUGUUUAAAAAUGUUGAAAUGGCACAUUUCUAGAAUUUCAAAACCUUUUUUUCCAAUUUUUUUGAGGACAGGAAUCUCUUCUGGGAAUAACACCAGUUUUGAUGAAUUGUCAGUUGUGACCAUCUCUUCUCUUCUCUAUGAAAGCCCUGUUCUCACUCCCUACUCUAAACCCAGGCUUCCAAUACUUUCCAGAAGUCUAAAGUAUGAUUUCCUUAGUUACCUCACUGAUGCAUUAGAAUGAGAUGUCGAUUUUGGGCAGCUAUCUUUAUCCGCUGGUGCAAGAAGACAACAGUGAGAGUGUUGUGAUGGUCUGAAUUGGGAUUGUUCUCCCUCUGCACAUACUUGAGAUUGUAAGUGCUCUGUGUUUUGUGUUUCUACAUUUCACAUACAUAGUUCCAUGCCAAUUAUUAGUUCACAAUUUGUAAACAAGUAGAUAUGAGUUGCAUGUAUGCUAGAAAUGAAUUUCAUUACCACACUGAGUGCUCUUUUCCAUUACGUCUGUCAAGAAGGAUUAUUUUCCUGUAGCUAAUGACCAGAGUUGUGCUGGUGGGGCAAAAUCUGAUGCCUUUGGUGAAGCACUAUUAAUGAACCCUACU